ACAAAAUUAAAAUAUCAUGAGACGAAAAAUAUAGCGGGACGGGUUUAGAUUGAUAUGAAAUAUAGCAGGAUGGGUUUGGAUUGAUAUAACACAGGUUAAA
rnacentral:sRNA from 1 species